rnacentral:lncRNA from 1 species
AGCAUCACAUGACUCUCUUCUUGGCGAAUUUCUGAGAACACCUCCCUCGUUGAAGGUACUGGUUGCCUGCUAAGUAUCCUUUCUCUAACAUCGUCCAAAUUUCGAUGGAUCCCAACCGAAAAUUUAAACAUCCAUUCAUUCUCUAGUUUCUUUUGAUAUCACGCGCAGUUCCCAGGGCAGUCCCACUCUUCUUCUGUACUCAAGUAGAGCUCUUGCCAUAGUGCCACCAUCUCCAACUAAUACUCAGCGACUUCUCCCUUGCAUUAUUUGCCACAAUUUUCUCUUGAUUUCGAAAAUUUGGGAAGCAUUUUCAGAAUCGGAGUAUGUUUCUCCAAUAGCAUCCCUAACAUCCUUUGUGGUUGGUAGGAAUAUGUAAGUUUUUCUGAUGAAGGAAUCACGGAGUUCACGAAUCACGCAGUCACCAAUGAGUCUUCUGAUUUCCAUCUUUGCAAGCUGACAGAUUCUGUUGAGGCAGGCUUCUUCGUGUCUCAAGUUAGGUAUCCCAAUUUUCCUUUCCCAUCGAUCACUAGUUUGAUGGAUUGGGCCUAUUCUUUGAAGUUUUUCCCAUUUAAUUUUUCCAACAUGAGUUAGAACAACGAAUUAUCAAUUCCUCUGGAACCUACUAUUGGCUUCGCUUCUAUUUCACCAUUGGGUGAUUUAGUGAUCAUUGACCCCUUGCUACUGUGCAAGGUUUUUGUCAUUAGAUCGGGUUAUUACUCUUACUCUAAUACCACGUGAACAGUAAAAGUGUAGAAAUAUUUUGUAAAUAGUGAAACCUCUGUUAUUUCAUUGAUCAGUAUUACACCCUAAUACCUUCUUUAAUAAUAUACAAAAGAUAUCAAAAGAGCAAAAUAUAUAUCUAAAAGUGUUAAAGAAUCUUCUACAAUCAAUAAUAAUUACUAGUUAAUAAAAUAUACUAAGAUACUUAAGGUAGGGAGAAUUUUCCAUAUUCUUGAGAUUUCAACAAAAGCUAACAAAAGCAACUUCAAUUCAAAGGCACGCGACGUCGUUUAGGUUCAAGUCAUAUGAUUCCGUUUUGAUUAAAUGAAAUUGUAAUAAGUUUUAGUUAAAACAUGUUUUCUUAAUUGCUUUUGGAAAUGCAAUUUUUGUACUGAGCCUAUAGAUACAGAAUGGUACAAAUUUUCUUCAAUUUUUGAUCAUUUGAUAUUUCAGUAAAUUUGUUGAGAAAUUCAACAGCUACUCUCUUCUUGUUCUUCUUAUUUUCUCAUUUUUCCCUCCUCAAUUCUAUUUUGCUUUACUUGGUAACAGUUCUAGCUGGUUUAAGCUGGAUUACUUCAUUGAUUGAGCUGCAUGAGUUGAUGAUUGCGAAUUGAGGUUUAAUUCGUGAAAAAUUGGUAUCAGAGCAGGCGUACACUACUGGAAAAUUGCUAUUCAAAGUUACUAAAGCCAAAAUUUUGGACGAGCACUUGAAGAAAUUGGAUUUAGAGAUGGUUGAUCUGGGAACUUCAAUUAAGGUCGUUACCAGCUGGUUGGAGAACAAAUUAGCUUCUACAGAUCAAAC